UCCCGGGCGCCGGGAGCGGGGGACCCCCGGCGCUUCCACCGCCGCCGCCGCCACCGGACGCUGCAGCCGCCGCCGCCAUCUUGUUGUGAGGGAGCAGCCGCCCCUCCCCCCUCCUCCCGGGGCUGCGGCACCGCGUGAGCUCAUCCGCACGGGGGCGGGGCCCCAGCCGCCGCCAUGGCAACCGGCGGAGGAGGAGGUGGUGGAGGGGGAGGAGCCGCGCGCGGGCCCAGCCGCGGCGGCUUCUGACGCGAGAGGGACGUCAGCGCGCAAGGCAGGCGGCCGGCGCGCGCGACGGCUACGGGGAGCGCGAAGGGACAAACUGCCCGUUCGUUGCAAUUCCGGCGGCAGCUGCUGCAGGUCAAGCCGUGCGGGAGACCACCAAUGAAGUGGUGUCGUCCCCGCGCGCUCCAGAGCAGGGCCCGACCAGGAGUCUUUGCCUUCGCUUGCACGAGGACUGCCCGACACGACGCGCGGCCUUUCGCACGUGCGACCCGCGGUUCGUUUGCAGAGCCGGGCGGCUGCACCGCCACAUGAGGAAGAGGAGCGCCGGCUGCCGAGGGAGGUUGGGAGGCUGUCGCCCAAGGCCCGUUGGGCUGCAGUGGGACUCCCCACCGGCUGAAGCCCUCCAAGCCAGCCGGGGUCUCUUGGCAUCAGAAACUUGGUGAUUGAGGAUAUAGGGGGGUACCUGCCCCCACCCUUGGCUACACCCAUGUGAUGGGCUAUGCAGAAAUGGCAAAGUUAAUAGCCGAAAUAAGAGAAUCUAACGAUGAUUGUUUUGUGGAAGAAGGGAAGCCCUUUUCAGACUACUUAAGGAAAUCUUAGUUUGAUGAACUCGCAAGGUGGAUUUUAAAUAUGAGCAACAAAAGGAACUAAAGAAUACAGUACUGAUUUGUUGGUAUAAGAAAUAGAAGGUAUUGUGCAGUAGAGGGGGAGAAAUUAAAACACCAUGGAAAAUGGGUCUGGAAGUCGGGAAAAGACAAUUUUAUCAUGUACUGAAGUAUUUUUAAAAAUUGAAAAAUCAAUAAAAAGUUAUAUAUAAAA